rnacentral:rRNA from 1 species
UACAGAGGGGGCAAGCGUUGUUCGGAAUUACUGGGCGUAAAGGGCGCGUAGGCGGCCUUCUAAGUCGAACGUGAAAUCCCCGGGCUCAACCCGGGAACUGCGUCCGAGACUGGAAGGCUCGAAUCCGGGAGAGGGAUGCGGAAUUCCAGGUGUAGCGGUGAAAUGCGUAGAGAUUGGGAAGAACAUCGGUGGCGAAGGCGCUCUGCUGGACCAUAACUGACACUCACAGGACGAAAGCUAGGGGAGCGAAUGGG